GGCGCGCGCCUGUAAUCCAGCUACCUGGAGGCUGGGGGAGCCCAGGGCAACCAGGUCGUCUAAGGAGGGACGCACCGGCCCAGGUUGGAAACAAAGCAGGCAAAAGUCCCCGUGUCGAUCAGUAGCGGGAUCGCGCC
rnacentral:SRP_RNA from 1 species